rnacentral:rRNA from 1 species
AGAGAGAGACAUGCGCGCAUAUCAAUAAGCGGAGGAAAAGAAACUAACAAGGAUUCCCUUAGUAACGGCGAGUGAAGCGGGAAGAGCUCAAAUUUGAAAUCUUCAAGGUUCUACCUUGACGAAUUGUAGUUUAUAGAAGUGUUUUCUGUUAGUGGAGUGGCAAAAGUUCUUUGGAAUAGGACAUCAUAGAGGGUGAGAAUCCCGUAUUUGGUCAUUCCUCCUAGCGUUGUGAUACACUUUCACGAGUCGGAUUGUUUGGGAAUGCAGGUCCAAAAUGGGUGGUAAAUUUCAUCUAAAGCUAAAUAUUGGCGAGAGACCGAUAGCGAACAAGUACCGUGAGGGAAAGAUGAAAAGAACUUUGAAAAGAGAGUUAAACAGUACGUGAAAUUGUCAAAAGGGAAGCGCUUGACACCAGUGUUGUUUUUCCGAAAAUCAAUUACGAAUGUUUUGUUUUUGAGGAGUUAUGACUUCAUCGGCUUGCUCCUUUCUUUACGAAACUUUCUUAAUGCACUUUUCGGUUAACAAGUCAACAUCAAUUUCUUUUGUUGUAAAAGGGUAUGAGGAAGGUGGCUUUCUUUUCGGAGAAAGUGUUUAUAGCCUUGUGCCUCUGCAAUCGGAGAGAUUGAGGUCUGCAGCGUAGAUCCUUCGGGGUUAGAUACAGUUUGUGCUAAGUUAUAGCUUUUCAUAGACAACUUGUUGACUAUGUUUAGUCUUGUAGCUUACUCGCUGACGCUAUUUUACCUACGCUUAGGAUGUUGAUAGUCACAGCGUGUAC